rnacentral:rRNA from 1 species
UGGGGAAUAUUGCACAAUGGGGGAAACCCUGAUGCAGCGACGCCGCGUGGAGGAAGAAGGUCUUCGGAUUGUAAACUCCUGUUCUUGGGGACGAUAAUGACGGUACCCAAGAAGAAAGCCACGGCUAACUACGUGCCAGCAGCCGCGGUAAAACGUAGGUGGCAAGCGUUGUCCGGAAUUACUGGGUGUAAAGGGAGCGCAGGCGGGACGGCAAGUUGGAAGUGAAAACUAUGGGCUCAACUCAUAGAUUGCUUUCAAAACUGCUGUUCUUGAGUGGUGCAGAGGUAGGCGGAAUUCCCGGUGUAGCGGUGGAAUGCGUAGAUAUCGGGAGGAACACCAGUGGCGAAGGCGGCCUACUGGGCACUAACUGACGCUGAGGCUCGAAAGCAUGGGUAGCAAACA